rnacentral:rRNA from 1 species
UACGGGGGGGGCAAGCGUUGUUCGGAAUUACUGGGCGUAAAGGGCCAGUAGGCGGCCAACUAAGUCGGAUGUGAAAUCCCCAGGCUUAACCUGGGAACUGCAUCCGAUACUGGAUGGCUUGAAUUCGGGAGAGGGAUGCAGAAUUCCAGGUGUAGCGGUGAAAUGCGUAGAUAUCUGGAGGAAUACCGGUGGCGAAGGCGACACCCUGGCAUUAGCCUGACGCUCAUGUGCGAAGGCGUGGGGAGCGAACGGG